rnacentral:misc_RNA from 1 species
UGGUUCUGGCAUCGAUGAAGAACGCAGCGAAAUGCGAUAAGUAAUGUGAAUUGCAGAAUUUAGUGAAUCAUCGAAUCUUUGAACGCACAUUGCGCCCUCUGGUAUUCCGGGGGGCAUGCCUGUUCGAGCGUCAUUUCAACCCUCAAGCCUAGCUUGGUGAUGGGCCUUCGUCUCCUAGACGGGUCUGAAAAUUAGUGGCGAUGCCCUCCAGCUUCAAGCAUAGUAAAUAUAUCUUUGUCUUGAGUAGUUGGCUGGUGUAUUGGCCAAUGAAUUGUAUACACAUUUCUUCUGGUUGACCUCGAAUCAGGUAGGGAUACCCGCUGA